rnacentral:rRNA from 1 species
UAAAUCAGUUAUCUGUUUAUUUGAUAGUACCUUACUACAUGGAUAACCGUGGUAAUUCUAGAGCUAAUACAUGCUAAAAACCCCGACUUCGGAAGGGGUGUAUUUAUUAGAUAAAAAACCAAUGCCCUUCGGGGCUCCUUGGUGAAUCAUAAUAACUUAACGGAUCGCAUGGCCUUGCGCCGGCGACGGUUCAUUCAAAUUUCUGCCCUAUCAACUUUCGAUGGUAAGGUAUUGGCUUACCAUGGUUUCAACGGGUAACGGGGAAUUAGGGUUCGAUUCCGGAGAGGGAGCCUGAGAAACGGCUACCACAUCCAAGGAAGGCAGCAGGCGCGCAAAUUACCCAAUCCCGACACGGGGAGGUAGUGACAAUAAAUACUGAUACAGGGCUCUUUUGGGUCUUGUAAUCGGAAUGAGUACAAUUUAAACCCCUUAACGAGGAACAAUUGGAGGGCGAGUCUGGUGCCAGCAGCCGCGGUAAUUCCAGCUCCAAUAGCGUAUAUUAAAGUUGUUGCAGUUAAAAAGCUCG